rnacentral:tRNA from 1 species
GCCCCCGUAGCUCACCUGGAUAGAGCAUCGGUUUCCUAAACCGAGUGUAGCAGGUUCGAGUCCUGCCGGGGGUA